UACGUAGGGUGCAAGCGUUGUCCGGAAUUACUGGGCGUAAAGGGCUCGUAGGCGGCCAACUAAGUCGGAUGUGAAAUCCCCAAGCUCAACUUGGGAACCGCAUCCGAUACUGGAUGGCUUGAAUCCGGGAGAGGGAUGCAGAAUUCCAGGUGUAGCGGUGAAAUGCGUAGAUAUCUGGAGGAAUACCGGUGGCGAAGGCGGCAUCCUGGACCGGCAUUGACGCUGAGGAGCGAAAGCUAGGGGAGCAAACGGG
rnacentral:rRNA from 1 species